AUCCCAGCUACUUGGGAGGCUGAGGCAGGAGAACUGCUUGAACCCGAGAGGCAAAGAUUGCAGUGAGCCAAGAUUGUCCCAUUGCACUGCAGCCUGGGCAACAGAGUGAAACUCCAUCUCAAAAAAAAAAAAAAAUAUAAUCCAUACAUUUUAUGUAUGAUCCAGGUCACAUGCACUUAUAUAAUCAUAUAAGUGGAAAUCAAAGUUUCUCCAGACAUUACUUACCUUUCCUAUUGGUGCUGCACUGUGAUCUUUUCUAUUCCAUUCUGUUCUAAUUUUUUUUUAAUGCUAGUUACAUCUCACUAAUUGAUUUUGCAACUCACUAAUGGAUUACAUAUUGCAGUUUGGAAAACUCUGCUAAUGAGUGUGUGAAGGCAUAUGGAGAAAGACAUUGUCAAGAGAAUGAGAAAACAAGCCACAGACUGGGAAAAAAUAUUUGCAAAAUACACAUCUGAUAAAGUACUGUUCUCCAAAAUAUACAAAGAAAUAAGUCUUUUAAAAUUUUUCUGAUUUUUUAUUUUUUUGAGAUGGAGUCUUGCUCUGUUACCCAGGCUGGGUGCAGAGGCGCGAUCUCGGCUCACAACAACCUCCUCCUCCCAGAUUCAAGCAAUUCUCAUGCCUCAGCCUCCCAAGUAGCUGCGAUUACAGGUGCAUGCCACCACACCCGGCUAAUUUUUUAUACUUUUGGUAGAGACGAGGUUUCGCCACGUUGGCCAGGCUGGUCUCAAACUCCUGAACUCAAGUGAUCUGCCUGCCUCAGCCUCCCAAAGUGCUGAGAAUGCAGGCGUAAGCCACUGCGCCCAGCCACUAUUUAUUUAUUUGAGACAUGAUCUUGCAUCGUCACCCAGGCUGUAGUGCAGUGACAUGAUCAUGGCUCACUGCAACCUUCAUCUCCCUGGGCUCAAGUAGUCCUCCUGCUUCAGCCCCCCAGAGUAGCUGGGACUACAGGUAUGCGCCACCAUGCCCGGCUAAUUUUUAAAUUUUUUUUGUAGAGACAGGGUCUUGCUAUGUUGCCCAGACUGGCCUCAAAUUCCUGGGCUCAAGAAAUCCUCCUGCCUUGACUCCUAAAGUGUUGGGAUUACAGACAUGAGCCACCAUGCCGAGCCAAAAACUCUUGAAACUCAACAAUAAGAAAUCAAAUAACCCAAUUAAAAAAUGGACCAGGCCGGGCGCAGUGGCUCACGCCUGUAAGCACUUUGGGAGGCCAAGGCGGGCGGAUCCUGAGGUCAGAAGAUUGAGACCAUCCUGGCUAACACGGCGAAACCCCAUCUCUACUAAAAAUACAAAAAAAAAAUAACCAGGCGUGGUGGCGGCAGGUGCCUCAAAAAAAAAAAAAAAAAAAGGACCAAAGACCCUAACACACAUCUCACCAAAGACAUACAGAUGGAAGGUAAGCAUAUGAAAAGACCUCUAUAUCCUAUGUCAUCGGGAAAAUGCAAAUUCAAACAAUGAAAUACUACUACGUAUCUAUUGGAAUGGCCCAAAUCUGGAAUACUGACAAUACCAAAUGCCGUGGAGGAUGUGGAAUAACAGAAACCCUCAUUCACUGCUGGUGGGAAUGUAACACGGUACAACCACUUUGGAAGAUAGUUUGGCAGUUUCUUACACCACUAAACAUACUUUUACCAUACAAUCCAGCAAUCAAGCACCUUGGUAUUUACCCACGUGUUAAAAAUUUACGUCUAGGUGGCCGGGCACGGUGGCUCACGCCUGUAAUCCCAGCACUUUGGGAGGCGAGAUGGGCGGAUCACCUGAGGUCAGGAGUUCAAGACCAGCCUGUCCAACAUGGUAAAAUGCCGUCUCUACUAAAAAUACAAAAAUUAGCUGGGUGUGGUGGCAGGCACCUGUAAUCCCAGCUACCCAGGAGGCUGAGGCAGGACAAUCGCUUGAACCCGAGAGGCGGAAGUUGCAGUGAACCUAGAUCAUGCCACUGCACUCCAGCCUGGGGAAAGAGAGCGAGACUUUGUCUCAAAAAAAAAAAAAAUUAUGUCUACAUAAAAACCUGUACAUGGAUGUUUACAGCAGCUUUAUAAUUACCAAAGCUUAGAAGCAACGAAGAUGCCCUUCGAUAGGUGAAUAAACUUACCAGACAGUUCUCCGGGUGGCCUUGGGCCACCCAGUUCUCCGCUUUCUCACUUAUAGUAUUCAAGAAUAACCGUAGAUUGUUCUGGGAAUGCAGCAUCCUGGGAUAACGAGGGACUGGACAGCACAGCCUGAGCUCUAUUCCAGGCCCUCCUAGAAAUAGAAUAUCCUUUAAAAAAAAAGAAAACAAGAAAGAAAUAGGACGUCCUUCAACAUUUUAGCCCACCAAGUCCUGUUGUCCCUAGGAUACAAAACCCAGGGCAGUUUGCUAGUGAGGUAAGCAAGACAUACACACUGACAAGACUCCAUUCACCCCAGGCAGCUUUUGUGAGCCUCGGGGGACUGGCUGAGUCCUAGGCUACGCUGUCCCUUGCUGCCUAUCUGUAAGUAAUACAUCUGGUGCGUGUAGCUUAUUUGAUUGGGGGGGUUUUUCUGUUCCACCCAACUCAAGCAAGUUGGUAGCCAGGGCAUAAUUAAUCUGCUUUGAAAAACUGUGGAAUAGCCAGACAUUAUUCAGUGCUAAAAGGAAACGUGCUAUCAAACCACGAAAAUGUGUCCAGAAUUGGUGGGUUCUUGGUCUCACUGACUUCAAGAAUGAAGCCGCAGACCCUCGCGGUAAGUGUUACAGUUCUUAAAGGCGGCGUGUCCAGAGUUUAUUCUUUCUGACGUUCGGAUGUGUUCAGAGUUUCUUCCUCCUGGUGGGUUCGUGGUCUCACUAGCUCAGGAGUAAAGCUGCAGACUUUCGCAGUGAGUGUUACAGCUCUUAAGUCGACGCAUCUGGAGUUGUUCGUUCCUCCCGGUGGGUUCGUGGUCUCGCUGGCUUCAGGAGCAAAGCUGCAGACCUUCCCGGUGAGUGUUACAACUCAUAAAAGUAGUGUAGAUCCAAAGAACAAACAGCAACAAAAUUUAUUCCAAAAAGUGAAAGAAUAAAGCUUCCUCUCUCCACCCCCCAACCCCCCCCCCCCCCCCCCCCCCGGAGAAAUAGGACCCGAGUACAUUGCCACUGCUGAGUCGGGGCAGUCUGCUUGCACUGCUGAGUCGGGGCAGUCUGCUUUUAUUCUCCUAUCUGGCCCCACCCACAUCCUGCUGAUUGGUCCAUUUUACAGAGCGCCGAUUGGUCUGUUUUACAGAGAGCUGAUUGGUCCAUUUUGACAGGGUGCUGAUUGGUGCGUUUACAAUCCCUGAGCUAGACACAAAAGUUCUCCACGUCCCCACUAGAUUAGCUAGACACAGAGUGUCCAUUGCUGCAUUCACAAACCCUGAGCUAGACACAG
rnacentral:lncRNA from 1 species